rnacentral:lncRNA from 1 species
UUUUUGGGCCACACCCAAGGCAUGCAGCAUUUCCCUGGCCAGGGAUCAAACCCACACCACAUCAGUGACAAAUGUCAGAUCCUUAAUCCACACAGCCACCAAAAAGCUCCACAAGUUAUUGUCUUUAUUUUUUUCCCUCCUUUAUAUCUGCUUUUAUUUCAUAAACACCCAGCAGGAGACAGGUUUCAUGAAUUUGCUUUUUAAAAUUCCUAACAACUAUAAAGCUUCAUAGAGGGAGGACAGAACAUACAGGGUUGGGAGGGAAAAAAAAGAAAACCCUGAAGAAGAUUCAAAGCUUUUGUCACCAGAACAAUAUCUAAAUUUAAUACAUAAUCUUACUGUUAGGAUGGCGGAGUCGAGAGAAACAGAGGCUGGAGCAGUGAGAUCACAAGCAGGUUUAUGGACCAACACAGAGGCCGGGAGCACCGAGCAGGGAGAACUCAGGCUCCCUGCUAUUGGGGGAAGGGCUUUUUUAUAGCUAGGGUUUCGUGGGAUGGAUCACAGAGGCUCAAGGGGAAUGGGGAAGAGAGCUUGAGAAAUGCAGAGGGAGGAUUUGGGUCUUAGGUGUGAGUUUCAAUAGUCUUUUUGGCUCUGUUCAUUUUGAGGUUUCAACAACUCCUUAACUUAUCUUGGUCCUGGAGCCUUCAUCCUGCCGGCAUCUGUUUUUCCUGUUGGUUUGCUCCGCUGACAAGGUGUCUGGAGCCUGGGUGGGAUCUCUCCAGUUUAUAGACCCCAACACUUACUAGUUUUUGGGUUUUUUUUUGUCUUUUGUCUUUUUAGCCCCCACUCCCCCACCUGGCAUAUGGAGGUUCCCAGGCUAGGGGUCAAAUUAGACCUGUAGCCGCCAGCCUACAGCCACAGCCACGCCAGAUCCGAGCCACAUCUGCGACCUACACCAUAGCUCACGGCAAGGCCGUUCCUUAACCUGCUGAGCAAGGCCAGGGAUGGAACCCUCAACCUCAUGGUUCCCAGUCGAUUCGUUUCCGCUGCGCCACGACGGGAACUUCAACACUUACUAGUUUUAAUUACAGGAUGAAAACUCUGAAUUAAUUACAGAUUUGAAUUUUUAAAGUAGUUCAGUUUAUCUCAAGUACGAAAGACAGUAAUUCAAACUGCGCUAAUCAAAGGUGGCUCAGUGGACAUCCUAAGAGGUUUAGUUUUAAUGAAUUAAUAGAUUUAUGAUUCACUUCUCAACAAUUUGAGUAGAAACAAGAUAUUUUAGACAGGAUCUGAAAAUUGUUCUUUAAUGUCGAGUUCCUGUCAUGGCUCAACAGUUAACGAACCCAAAUAGCAUCCAAGAGGACGCAGGCUCAGUCCCUGGCCUCACUCAGUGCAUUGGGGAUCUGACGUUGCUGUGAGCUGUGGUGUAGGUGGCAGGCAAGGCUCGGAUCCCGAGUUGCUGUGGUGUGGUGUCGGCUGGUGGCUACAGCUCCAAUUCCACCCCUGGGAACCUGGGAACCUCCACGUGGCCGCAGGUGUGGAGGAAAAGGCAAAAGAAAAAAGAAUCAGUCUUGGAGUUCCCCUUGUGCUGCAGCAUAAAUGAACCCGACUAGAAUCCAUGAAGAUGAGGGUUCAAUCCCUGCCGUUACUCAGUGGGUUAAGGAUCCAUGAGCUGUGGUGUAGGUCACAGAGGCCAGCCCCUAGCAUGGGAACUUCCUUAUGCUGUGGGUGAGGCCCUAAAAAAAAAUAAAUCAUCUUUUUAGUAUGGUAACAGAUGGAAACCAAAUUCUGGGGAGUGAGCACAAUGCAGUGUAUACAAAAGUAGAAACAGAAUGUAUACAUAGAGUAUAUAACAUUAUAAACCAAUGUAUCUCAAUUUUUUAAAGGUAUAAAAAAAGAAUCAGUCUUUUCAUACUUUUUACAUUACUCUUUUUGUCUUCAAAUAAUUUUUCCAAACAGUGAAAAGAUAAAUUUUAGCCAGUUUAUAUCCAAAAUAACAACAAUUUCUAAAUAAGUAUGACCAAAUGGAAAAUAUCUUGUGAAUAAAUCUGGCAAUGGACUUAGCUGUUCUUUCAGUUGCUCAAUAAAAUUUGAGCCCAAUUCUAAAUUUACAAGCAAAUAUUUUCUAAAAUAUCUGAUAGGUGUGUUUUUAAAUCCUUGUUAACUGUUUAAAAGUUCCUUAGGUUGUCACACCUGUUAUAUCUGCAUAUACUUAACCUACUCAUAGAUAUUUAUGCUAAUUCAUUAGCUCCCUCAGGGUGGGAAGGGCCGACUUUAUAUACUUUAUCGUCUUAGAGCACUGAUGCAUUGCUUCCCGGGUCAGAGACAAAUAAAUCUUUUAGUAUAAUUGCGGUUGCUUUAUGUGCCGCUGUCUCCCUGCUGGGAAAAAUGUUAAAAUAUUUAAGGUUUACUAUCUCCUGUGAGGGUGCUUGUAUAAUUAAAAUGUGGGAUGGGAGGAGAGAAUGGCAGAAUUUAAUACUUGCUUUUAGUUGGAAUAAGUUAGUUUGAAUUAGUAAACUUUGAGAGAGAGUCGAUAGAAGGACAAGUUUUGCUGAAGAAGAGCUGGCAGCGUCGUUUUGAGAUCUCUGCGACAGUCCUUUGGAUUCAGACUAGCUCAGGUAGGAUAGAGGUAGAACUGGGGGAUGGGUAUGGCACAGAGAUCACGAUUCCUGUCCGUGCCCUAUCAUCAGCGCUCACACACACCAAGCCUUCAUACCACAUCUGCUUUUACCUUCCUCCUCUGUAUCUGUCUACAUACCUGAAAAGCAGGUGGAAAAGCAGUUUUGUCCCUAAUAAGCACAUGAUUUUGGAGUUCCUGUCGUGGCUCAGUGGUUAACGAACCUGGCUAGGAACCAUGAGGUUGCGGGUUUGAUCCCUGGCCUUGCUCAGUGGGUUAAGGAUCCAGUGUUGCCGUGAGCUGUGGUGUAGGUGGCAGACGUGGCUCGGAUCCCGCGUUGCUGUGGCUCUGGCGUAGGCCGGUGGCUAUGGCUCCGAUUGGACCCCGAGCCUGGGAACCUCCAUAUGCUGUGAGAGUGGCCCCAGUAAUGGCAAAAAAAAAAGACAAAUAAAUAAAUAAAUAAAUAAAUAAAUAAGCACAUGAGUUUGAGCUGAACUAUCCGACUGCAGAGAUUCUUCAAAUUCUUCAUCUCGGCCUUGCUCUGCAGACUUGUGCUUCCCAGUACAACCAAUAGAUACUCCUCGGCUCACCAAUUCCCUCCCAGGGCCCACAGCCUUGGGGUUCUCCAAGGAAAAUAAAGUUCCAUCUCACACCUAAGAAGGAUGACUUACUCCUGGAUGUGAAUCCAACGAGCAAGAUUAUUUUUCUUUGAAACAUAAUUCAGUCAAUAACCUGAUUUCAUUCUAGUCGCUUAUCCUGUUUGAAGGGAAAGCAUGUGCAUAAGAGCAGCCUGCAAGAGAAACCAGAGUUUUCCAGUGCACAUUACGGUCUGUGCACUGUGCCCCGGAGAGGGCUGGAUCAGUCAGCAUCAUGGGGCAGGAAAAACGCAAACGGUUAUAAAGGCCACACACUCCAGUGACAGCUACGCUGCUGCAGCCGGAAAAGGAGCAAAUGGUCCUUAGUAAGACCCUAUUUGGGGGAAGAAGAGACUGUGCAGAGGGUCCAAGAGAAUGACUCUGUGGUUUGCAAUUGGCUAGUCAAUUCUCAACAUAAGUGAAUCCAGCAGACAUGAUUGUUUAGAAAAGCAAUUAAACACGGUUCAAUCUUUCUUGGUUAAUUAACGGAUUUUCAUCUGGAGGUGUGGCUGGAGGAAGGAGCCUCCUGGAAACCAGGAUCUGAAAGAAGUGUUAAGUGUGAAAAAAAUCAGUUCCAGAUGAUUCUGUUUAUAUCCAGACUAUUACAUCUAGACACUGGAAAUUAAACUAUAGGUC